rnacentral:rRNA from 1 species
GUGGGGAAUCUUAGACAAUGGGGGAAACCCUGAUCUAGCCAUGCCGCGUGAGCGAUGAAGGCCUUAGGGUUGUAAAGCUCUUUCAGCUGGGAAGAUAAUGACGGUACCAGCAGAAGAAGCCCCGGCUAACUCCGUGCCAGCAGCCGCGGUAAUACGGAGGGGGCUAGCGUUGUUCGGAAUUACUGGGCGUAAAGCGCGCGUAGGCGGACCAGAAAGUUGGAGGUGAAAUCACAGGGCUCAACCUUGGAACUGCCUUCAAAACUCCUGGUCUGGAGUUCGAGAGAAGUGAGUGGAAUUCCGAGUGUAGAGGUGAAAUUCGUAGAGAUUCGGAGGAACACCAGUGGCGAAGGCGGCUCACUGGCGCGAUACUGACGCUGAGGUGCGAAAGCGUGGGGAGCAAACAGGAUUAGAUACCCGGGUAGUCC